rnacentral:piRNA from 1 species
UUGGUCUGCUACCUGUUGGUCUUAGAGGA